UACGUAGGUGGCAAGCGUUACUCGGAAUCACUAGGCGUAAAGCGCAGGUAGGCGGUUUGAUAAGUCUGUUGUGAAAGCUCCCGGCUUAACUGGGAGAGGUCAACGGAAACUAUCAGGCUAGAGUGUGGUAGAGGUAGCUGGAAUUCCCGGUGUAGCGGUGAAAUGCGUAGAUAUCGGGAGGAAUACCUAUGGCGAAAGCAGGCUACUGGACCAUCACUGACGCUGAUCUGCGAAAGCUAGGGGAGCAAACAGG
rnacentral:rRNA from 1 species